UUUCCCUUCUUUUCCUUGAGGAGCAAACAUUCUCAAAACAUUCUUAAAUGCAAACCCACAGUCACAGCACGUGUCUGCCAACUCCAACAGCAUUUGGAUAUUCGAAGGGAGAGGAUGUUUGACAUCUAACCCGUCGUGGGAAGUACAGUCUUUGGAACAUCACGUCUGAAAGCUCAUGGCCUCUGCCUGCCUCGUGGGACAGUGCUGGAAAUUAUAUUCAUGUUUGGAUAGCAUUCCCUGAGAGUGCUGGAAAUUACACUCGUGUUUAGUUAGAA